UAUUUAAAAUAUUAUUGAAUUAAAUGGUUAACUUUAUUUCAAAUUGUUGUACUUUAAUAACUUUAAUAAUUAUUAUAUAUUUUAUACAUUUACAGUCCAGGUACGUGAUUGUAAGUUCAAUAAUUUACUUACAUAAUUCAUUGUGUUCAUAUUAAUAAUAAGUUAAUUACGUUUUAAGAUUAUACAUUCACAGCUGAUGAAGAUAGUAGUACAGAAGCUGAUGAAGAAAAUGCAGAGAAUCCUGAUGGAGGUAAACUAAAAUAGUAUAUAGUAUUUUACUUUGUUAAUAAUAAAACAGAAUUCUUUCACACAAGUACACAUUAAAACGGUUAAACAAUAGUUCCAUAUUAUAGCCGUUAUGGUGUAUUUAAGUCUCCCUACAACAGAAUCUCCUUCAUAAUGGAUAAAUCAAUUUGUCAGUCUGGAUAUUUUAUAUUGUUAUUAUUUAUUACAGCCUGUAAGUUGAAUUAA